rnacentral:lncRNA from 1 species
GGAAAUCUUAAGUCAGUAAGAUAAAAUGUACAGAAGCAAGGGUAAUCCAGGAAUGGUUUUGUAAUACAUUUCAAAAUUGCAUAGAUCUCAAAAGACUAAUCCACUAAGUCUAAAAGACUGAUGUCUGCCUAAAAGAUAGACAUUGAGCCACACAUGUCAACGUUCCCAAAUUGAAAUGUAGAAUUGAACGAUGAAGAAACAGAAAGAUAUCCUGAAACUCAAGUAUGAACACGUGCGCUUCAUUCAGUUCCUGGUGUAAUAAACUGGAAAUACCCUCUCUAAGACGUAUGAGAUCUGUUCAUCAUCUUCUGAUACCCUCAAAACAGCUGGUUAAAAAAUUGUCCUACUACCGCACUUCAAUAAAAAGAAAAGCAAAUGGAGAAAACUCCUAAUAGCCCUCUCUCCAAAAGAGUGACUCCAGAAGGUCUUUAACAUUUUUGCUACCAUUGCAUUUCCGGCCACGGUCAUCAGCAGUGAUGAAGGGUUCAUAAAUUAUCCAUUUUCUCCAUUUCAGGAAAAUCAUAAGGUAAAUCCACAAAUAUGUAGAUAGUAUUUUUCAGUAAAUCAUCAUAUGCUACUAAUGUUAUCUAACAAAUUAGAAAGAAACUUGAGGAAUACCUUCUGAUAGACAACCCCAGUGUUGGUUGCUCAAAGAGAGCAAAGAAGUGAAUAAGGCUGAGGCAGUAACAGAGUGCAUUGGCAUCAAAGAUAGUGCACCAGCCAAUUCUACAGGAAGC